ACUGCGCCAGGUUGCGCGCUCCCAAAGGGAUGGUUAGAAAGCCCUCCGGUCCUCUCCCCUCCCGGCCCCUUGCGCUCCUCUGCGGCUCCCAGGUGCGAAGCGACGCCACCCGCAGAAGCUUCGGCUCUCCUCGAAAGGUUAUUCUCAGAGCCCAUCCUUCAUCUGUGCUUGUGACCAAUUUGCCAUUUAUGAGCAUGGAUCUUGUGUUCUAGAAUGAUGGUCUACAGCUACAUCGAAUGAUGUGGCAAUGGGCAGCCAGUCAGAGGACAGGAGUGGGUCUCUCCCAGCAGUCUCUCGAGGACCUGUCAUGGGAUCAUGCAUGGUUUCUUUUGUACGAGAAAGUAGAAUCCAAGUCAUCUCAGGAAAGCACACUGCUAUUCAACAGUGAACGAAAUGUGAUGAGUAUAUCCUGUAAGUUCUUGUCCAGUGAAACCUGAAAACACAGCUAUUCUCUCAUGUUGCUGACAACUAAACAACACUGAACUUGCUACCGUAGCAGAAUACAAAUAUUCUUAGAUCAUUUUAAAGAUUAGACUCAAGGAAUUAAUCAUGUGUGACAGGAAGCUUGGACAUGAUUUACAGCAUCUAGUAGCUUACAUUGUAACUGCUUUUUAUUGCUUCAUGUAGUAUAUAAUAGCAUUAAGUUGUCCUUAGAUAGGAUGCUAUGGAAAACAAGCUAUGUAGUUCAACUGGGACAUUCUGCAGAAUUAUAACCAAAACGGACCACUGAUGUUUCCUUAAGGAUCUCAGAAUCAAUCUGAUAAAGUUUAUUAAAAAAAUCAUUGAAUUCUGAUAACUCAGGUAAAAUAAUUUCAAAUAAUUCCAAAUGGUUAAAUAGCUUUUCAACAAUCACUGGGCAAUUUUUAGAGCAAUCUGUUUGAGUUGAAAGUUCAAAACUAAUUUGACAGAAAAAUAGAAAUCUCUAAAAGGCUUUAUGUAAACCACUAAAGUUCUGAUGUUCGCAAAUAUAUCAGCAAUGUCAGAAAGAAUAAUGGUAAGGAGAUUGACUUACCAUGAACUAAACAUACCUUGUGGGAGCAAAGGAAGGUAUUGUUUUGAAGUUAUUCAUUCACUAAGAAAGAUUCUUCUAUUUCCCCAACUAUUUUAUCUUCUAAUAACCAUUGGUCUUUUGUGUUUUCUGAUAAAAUUCAAAGAGCAAAAUCUAUUGGAUCAAUAAAGCAGAGAACUUUACAGAACCAAAUAAGAAUUGUAGUAGUAUGUAAUAUUCUCUAAAUUCUCUAUAUGGCUAUAUGCAUAAUUUUGUAUUUAUUUAUUUAUUUAUUUUGUCAUGUUUAUAUAGAGUAUAUUGGAGGUGAUGAUCCUUUGAGAGCUGUAUGCAACGAAAUUUCAUUUUAAUGUAUGCCGAUUA